GAUGAACGCUGGCGGCGUGCCUAAUACAUGCAAGUCGAGCGAACAGACGAGGAGCUUGCUCCUCUGACGUUAGCGGCGGACGGGUGAGUAACACGUGGAUAACCUACCUAUAAGACUGGGAUAACUUCGGGAAACCGGAGCUAAUACCGGAUAAUAUAUUGAACCGCAUGGUUCAAUAGUGAAAGACGGUUUUGCUGUCACUUAUAGAUGGAUCCGCGCCGCAUUAGCUAGUUGGUAAGGCAACGGCUUACCAAGGCGACGCUGCGUAGCCGACCUGAGAGGGGGAUCGGCCACACUGGAACUGAGCCACGGUCCAGACUCCUACGGGAGGCAGCAGUAGGGAAUCUUCCGCAAUGGGCGAAGGCCUAACGGAGCAACGCCGCGUGAGUGAUGAAGGUCUUCGGAUCGUAAAACUCUGUUAUUAGGGAAGAACAAAUGUGUAAGUAACUAUGCACGUCUUGACGGUACCUAAUCAGAAAGCCACGGCUAACUACGUG
rnacentral:rRNA from 1 species